AGUGGUUGAUCAACGAACAGAUUAGGUAUAUAACAAAUAGAAACAAAUCAGCGCAGUAACAUAAUAUUUGGUAAAUGCAAAGAUCACAGCUAUUGGGGCAAGAACUCUUUCUUUGACUAAAACUGCUAGAAAAACUGGAAAGUAGUCUUGUAGAAACUGGGCAUAGACCAAUAUAUAACACUAUAUAACAAGAUAACCUCCAAAUGGGUACAUGAUGUAGAUAUAAUAGGUGACAUCAUAGGCAAAUUAGUUGAGCAUGGAAGAAAUUACCUGUGAGAUCUAUGGAUAGAGGAAGAGUUCAUGAUUAAACAAGAAAUGGAAAGUUUGGUGGGAAGUAAACACUGGAUCAGAAAUGGGUCUCAAGCCUAUGGAGCCUCUGAGUCCUCAUGCACUGGGCUUUUGUAUUUAGGCAACCAUGAAGCUAUGUCAACAGGUCAAGUCUCAGUCCCCUGGAGCAAUACUGUCUAAAGGAUGCUUUCAUUACCCCUUAGGGAAAAACUAGCCUUGCCUUUGUGGCAAGAACCUUAUGAGAUGUAGCUUCUACUAUCCCACUUCAUGGUGAUUUAUUUCUCCUCUGAAUCCCUGAAGCACUACACAGUUUAGACCUGGGUCACAUAUGGCAUUAUAUCAUCCUUGAUUGUUUCAUGUUAGAUUUAUAUCCAGGAAGACUUUCCUCACCUCUGAUCAUUCCUUCCUUGGUCUUUUCAUAGCACUCUGUCCCCCUCUUAAGUCAUCUCAUUCUGCCUUUCAUUCUGGUUAUUGUUGCCCAUGUCUUAUCUUGCCGGGGCCCUAUAAUCACAAACUCCAAGCUAGAUAAGCACAGGAGAAUAGGAAAUGGAAUACAGAACCAGAAAGUAUGGUCAAAGAUGAAAUCUUCACAGACCUUGGGACAUAGAGUCAUCCUUACUGGUCCUUUUGUGGUAUCCUGGAUUUCAGUCAACCCUAAGUCCAGCCCAAUGCAUGAGGCUUUUAGAGGAGGAAGAGGAAGAGGAGGGGAAGAAGAGCAACAACAAUAUCUUUAUUCAUCACUUUAUGGUUUAUAAAGCACAUUUUUUCACAAUGACUCUGUAAGAUAUAACUCUGAGCGGCACAAAUAUGAAACACAAGGAAAGACACCCAGCAGUAUCCAGCAUGCCCAAAGUAUGCAAGAGGUCAAUUGCUCUCCUUUCAAUAUAAUUAGCUUUACAACUACUGUAUAAAGGCCAAUUUAGGAAACACUGACUCAAGAGAUUUGAGCUGCCUUCUCCCUAAUGGGAGAAAAAGACAGCUUUGCUCAGUAAAGAAACUGACACUAGCUGCUGCCUUCCUGCUCAUCUUCCUGCUUGUAAUAACACAUCAUCGGUUUCCAGGAUAGGAGCUCCUGAAGGACAGAGUGCCUGUCACUUACUUUUCUAUCUCAUCCAGAAUUUAACAAAUGGCCCUAGACAAAAGUUGCAUGAUGAAUGGUUUUGAAUGAAUGAAUAAAUGAAUGGAUGAAAGGAAUAACACGGGGGUGUGUCUCCUUCCCUGGUACUCCCCACAAUAUAUCCCUAAAAUAUAUUCCCCACAAAAGAGCCCAAUAAAGGCCAGAAGGAGGACUUUCAUGUUGUAAGCUCACAAGUUCGAUUCUGCCUGGUGCUCCCCACAGAUGGAUAGUGCAGAUCCCACCUUUCUUGUGGUAAGCCCUGGCCUUGCAGUCAGAAGGCUCAAAUUUAGGUUCUGACUAUCAACUCCUAACCACAUGGCCUUAAGCAUAUUACUUAACUUCCACCAGCCCCAGUUUCCUCCUCUAAAAAAUGAGGGAAUUGGGUGAGAGCAACUCUUAAGACUUUCUAGCUUUAAUCAUCUCUGAUUUUUUGAAGCAUCCCCUAGACCUUCCAGAAGGUCUUUCAUACAUUGUCUGCACAGCAAAUCCAUGGUGGUGAGCAGAGAGCAGAGGGGUAGAGAGCUGGGUGGGGGUGACAAGAGCCUGCUGUGUUGGGGAUGCUAUGAUGUCUCCCUUCCUAUCAUCCUUGGACUAAGUUUGGAGUGUUCCUGGCUAUCUGUGUGGGUUUGCGGUAAUGACUUAAGUUACUCCAAAAUCCAGACACCUACUAGCCAUGUGGAGGCAGCGAAUAGGAUCCCUGCACUCAAGGAGCCCCCUGUCUGGAGGGAAAUCUGCCCACAAACUCAGUGAUCAUUUGUACUGGAGACAGAGACAGAGACAGAGAGAGGCAGAGAGAUAGUCCUCAACGCCGAGUAUCUUAGCUCUCAGAUUGACAGGGGAGAUGAAGAUACAAGUGAAAGAUUAAACUCUGGACAUAAAUGCUGGGUGUUAUGUCAAGUGAUCCCAAUCAGGUAUGGUAAAUCUGGUGAGGCUUCCUAGAGGAGGUGAGUAUUCAACAGUCUUUCAGAAAGGAGAGGACCCUCAAUGACUCAGAGGCCCCAUCUAUAAACUGAAGGGGGUUGAUAAGGGCCCCUUCCAGCUCUAAUGUUCCAUGACUCGAUUGGAGCUGUGUUCCUAGUCCAGCAUAGAGAGGUAGAGAUGUCUUUCUGAUUCUCUCAACUGACUUCACUCCCACCAUUUGUUCCAAGGGAAAGAUGAUGGCAUUGAGUAACCAGGUACCUCAGCACAUAGAGGGAAGCUCAUUCAAUAGAGUCCAUUCAAGGCUGGUAGAUGCUGGAGCAUCAUCUUGCAGUUAAGAAGGAAAGCAGACUCAGUGAUCUCCAAUAUCAGUGAUGACCUUCCCUCUGGACCUCCCACAGCACUUAUCAUAUAUGUGUGUACAUAUAUGGAUGUAUAUAUCACAUAUGUGUACAUAUGUGUUAUGUACAUGCAGCGCUGAAGGCAGAGUUUCCCUCCUGGCACAAAGGGCUGGGUACCUUUUAAGGGAAAUCUCAAUCCUCAGACUCAUUUCCCCCACACAGGUAAUCUGGGACUUUCCUAUAUAACAAUAGUAUGUUGUCAUUACCAUUUGAUUCACAAGGCCCAAAGAAUGGAUUAAUUUUAUAAUGAGUCAAUGAGAACAAAUAAAGCCCACAAAGAUUCUGUAUGUCUCUUUGAAGGCUAUAUUAAUUCAAUCACUAAUAGCACCCAAUGUGCAGAGGUCCCACCAAAACUCUGCCUUGUGGACCUCCAGCACAUCUUCCCAUGGAAUCUCUCCUGGACUUCUUCUACUAGGUUAGCGUCAUAUCAUAUCACCCAUGCCACUCUGCCUACAGCUCCCCUCAGUUCCAAGCAGGUAGUGUCAGCUUUCUCUGUGAAAAACUCCUUCUGGUCCAGCCCUGAUUGCAUUCAGCUGGUAAAUCCAGGGGUAGGAUGUCACUCUUCAGUGGUCAGAAGUUUUCAGACAGGGAUGUACAAUACUCCCAUAACUCCUUUGGUCUCAGUCCAUUUCUGACAUGCAGUAUGUCAAAGGAACCCAUUCUAGGCUUCCCCUUUGUCCUAGAAUGUGACUGUCUUACCUUGCAGGGAAGUAUCCAGCUUCCAAGAGUUCCCCUUCAGAAGUACCACACUUUUCCCCACACCCACAUUAGAUCUUAAAAGCCAAGUAGACUCCCCAGCUUCUUCUUCCUCCAAGUUCCCUCUCCUGAUGUUUCAGGAGGGAAAAAGUCACACAAUCACAGCUACCUUCCUAUGAAAUGUGGAGUAGAGAUGAUACAUGGAAAGAAAAAAAGUGCAGUUCCAGCAACCUAUUAUCAUAAUUAUUUGGUUAUCUCUCUCCUCUACUAGAAUGUGAGCUCCAAUGAUGGUAGGACUAUGUCUUAUUUAAACUAUGUAAUUCUAUCCUAGGGUACACAGUGGACAGUUAAUAAAUGUUUGUUACAUUUUAAUUGGACCUAGCUCCACAUACUCCCUGGCAUUGUUAUGUUCCCUUAUUAAAAAUUCCCCUGUGUCAUGUAUCUAUCACAUAAUUUCCCCAUCCAAAAACCUAUUGGGAACAUGCCCCCUUGCCCUAAAGACAGAAAAAGUAAAAGAAUCUGUGUGUGCUAUGAACUUACCAUGGGUGAAAAAGAAAUUUUACUUUCAGGUAUCUACUGGAAAAGAUGAUCAGAGCUUUCAGAACAUAGAACAUGGAGUGUCAGGGCUGAAAGGGGCAUUGGGAUAAAGAAAAUCAGAGCUGGAAAAGCCCUUGGCAAUCAUUACAAUCCAACUCUCUCAUUUUACAGAUGAGGAAACUGAGGCACAGGCAAUAGAAGUGACUUAUCUGUUAUCCCACAAGAGUUGGAGCUAGGAUUUAAACCUUUCUUCUUACUCUCCAGACCUACUACUCUUUCUGCUAUGCCGAACUGCUAUGUGACUUCGGGACUUGGAAGAAAUCAGAUACUGCCAGUUCCAAGGACCACCAAAAGGAGUCCCACAAAUGUUUCAUAAUUAAAUUGGAAAGAAGACAGCAGGUCAUACAUCUGUCUACUGUGAGAAGCAUCUUGCCCAGCACCCCCUUGCCACUUCAUCUUACAGCCUUAGAUGUCCCAGAAUGCACGCAGGACUGCCGAUGGGUGAGAAUGACCGCCAACACUCGGAUGCCCUGUCCUUUUGCAUUAGCCCAGGAUGCAUGACCACUCACAUACCUUGGAAGAGAUGGGAGUUAACAACUCCAUUCCUUCUGAUGAAAUGAAGUACCACCAGCCCUUUGCCAUCUGCCCUCCUACUGCCUUGUAAGAUCCUCCAGACUUUAUCACCUGCUCUGUCUCUACAGCCCGCAGUCACUCUGUUCUAUCAUCUGGCCUCCUUACAGAAUCCAGAACAUCUGGACUUCGCUAUGUACAAUGUCCAUCAUUGUAUCCUUCUGGACCUUUCCAUCCAUGCUGCAGCUGAACUUUCUUUUAUAUGUUGUCUCUUCCAAUUAGAGUAUGAGUUCUUUGAGGGAAGAGGCUGUCUUGCUUUUUCUAUUUGUAUCCCCAGAGCUUAGCACAAUGCAUGGAUCAGAGUAAGCAAUUAGAAAGAUGCUUUUUUUUUCAUUCAUUCAUCUAUUUGAACAUAGAGCUGCCUUGAACUGACUUCCUUUUCAUCCUCAAACACACACACACAUGCACACAUACACACAUACACACACACACACACACACACAAACACACACCUUUCCCCCAGGGUACAGAAAGCAGAACAUGCACAUACCUGUUGGGCAUGCGGCCUUUCUCUGUGAUGGCAUCACACCACAUG